AACGCACGAGACCUGCGGACCUGCGGAAGGAUCAUUACCGAGUUAGGGUAGUCACUCACUGCCCGACCUCCCAACCCUGUGUCUACCACACUUUGUCGUUGCUUCGGCGGACCGGUUGACCAACUGGUCGUGACCGCCGGGGGCUGGCUCUGUCCCCCCUGGAGAGCGUCCGUCGGUGGCCCAACCACAAAACUCUUGUACCGAAACGUGUCGUCUGAAUUAUAUUUGAGAAAUCAAAAA
rnacentral:misc_RNA from 1 species